ensembl:lncRNA
UCUGAAGCGGUUAUCACUCUGGACUUCAAACAGCUGCCCCUAUCUUGGCCCCACCCAGGCACUUAUCGGGUUCUGGAAUAACAGCUCUCCAGGCUUCUGGGAGCCUGGUGGGCAAGCCACACUCCCAGCCCCCAGGCCCUCCUCAGUCUGGGGAGAGAGCGUGUGGGGGGAUGUCCCCCGAAGCCGUUUCAGGCUGGUCAGGGUAGAGAAAAAAAUCCGGCCCAGGGGCCCGGCUGGUCUAACGAGCCUGUUCAGGGCCCCAGGUGCCUCCUCUACAGCAGAGUCCUGGGCUCGGAGGGCUUCUGGGGCCCCUGGGACCCUACACAGGCCUACUCUGAGAGCACCGCCAUCCACCUUGGCCUCCAAGGGGGAAGGGGAGUUUGCAGGGAAGAAAGGCCAGGUGCCCCGAAAAACCACCCCCAGUCCACCAGGACCUCGUCCCCUUCGGGACCCAGCGGCCAAAUGGGCUGGUGGACGGGGUCCCCGGGCCAAUGCAGUGGAGGCCAGGCCCCCAGGGAGCAGCCCACGCACCGGUGGAACGCAGGCUCCAAGAAGCCCAAGUGAGUCCAGGAGGCCAAGGCUGGCCCUGACUCACCUCUGUGCAUACCAGGUGGGGCCCCCUGAGACAGGACAGUGGGGCCUCUCCCCACACCCGGGGGCAGGGGCAGGAGGGGGCGGAGGUGGGAACGCUCCCCCCAACCGUGCCCUGGAGGAGGGGGCACCGCUUUCCCCUCCCCCCGACCGGCUCAGGGACGCGUGGGGACCCGGGAAAAGCUGGCAGGGUCCCUGCACCGUCACAGGGGCAGGCAGGCAGCUGCCAGCGAGGACAGGAGGCACCCGGGGGCUAGGAUUCAGACAGCAUGUGCUCUCCUGUGCAGAGCAGUUUGUCUGUAAAUAAAGGUCAGGGUGACUGGAGCAGAGACAGCAGAGGGCAUGGAGGCUGGAGGGAGAGACAGUUGGUUUCAGAUCCUGGGGCCCGCUCAGCUGGGCGCAGAGCUCAGACUCGACCCGGGGGACCGAGGAAAGCUCUGGGCGCUCGAGUGGAGCCACCAGCACCAGCUCUGCAGGUUUGAGAGACCCUCUGGCUGCAGAGAAGGGCAUGGCAACCCACUCCAAUAUUCUUGGCUGGAGAAUCCCAUGGACAGAGGAGCCCGGUGGGCUACAGUCCAGGGGGUUGCAGAAUCGGAUACAACUGAGCGACUAAACCAGCACGUGCGGAGGGACACAGACCUGCAGAAACGCGGCGGGAGAGCCAGGGAGGGACGAGCGUCUGGGGAGAAGCCGCAGAGGCCCUCGUAUUUCUCAACAUGAAGAUGUCAGAAGCCAAGUUCCCAGCAAGUGGAGGGCCAACGGGUGUCUUUUGCUUGUUUGUUUUUGAAAAGGGAGUCUUCAUAGUCCCACAGUCCAGGACAGACAGUGUGGCUUGGUUUCCAGACCACCGAGAUGUGGCAGAUAUCGCAAUAAAGCAAGGUACACGGAGAUCUUGGUUUCCCAGCGCCCGUGACAGCUGUGUUCACACGAUCCUGGGCCCUGUUAAAUGUGCAGUAGCAUUCGUUUCUACAGAAAUGGUGUGCACACCAAAAUUAUAGAAGUUUUAUUGUUCUAAGCAUCCAGCAAUGCACGGCUGUGACUACCCUUCAGUGUAAACGACACAGCGCCUGAGGUCAGCCCAGGCUGCCUGGUCACUGACGAGCCCGCCCUGCAGCUUCUCUGUCCACCCGGGACAGUGAGGACAAGAGCAGCACAAAUUCAGGGCUUGCCCGGUGGUCCAGCGGUUAAAACUCUACGCUGCCAGUGCAGAGGGCGCGGGUUUGAUCGCUGGCUGGGGAACUAAGAUCCUGCACGCCUCUCUGUGUGGUCAAAGAAUAGAAAAAGAAGCAUAGUGUGGACUCCACUGGACACGGAGCCGCAGCCACUCUCAGCGAGUGUUGGCCAGAUGCCAAACUUCUUUCUGCCAUGAGACAUCAGAACCUGAGAGUCAGUGUGUCCAGACGCAGAUGCUGAACCCCCGCCAGGCGGCAGAAGUUCAGUGUCUGCUGCCCACAGGCACGUAGACCCGAGACUCGCUGAAGCCGGAAGGUUGGUGACGCUGACUGUCACUCACCACACCACCAGCCCGUCAGCACGGCGUCCCCGAGCUGCUCACACAGGCCUUGAGCCACGACUACUCCCUCCAGGUCUGGACACACGGCUUUGAGGGCAUUAGCCCUCUGGGGCCCCUCAGCCUUGGCAAAGCAAGUAAAGAUAUUCUUUUCUACUUCACCCCCCUUCACACACACACACACACACACACACACAAAUAGACAAUGUGAUGGAAAAUAUGAGAGAAAAAUAGGAAAAUCAGAGUUAGUCCUGGAGAGUUAAACUUCUGAAAAACAGGGGUUCUUGGAAGACAGAAGAGAGGAAACAGCAGUAAGGAAAUCCUCUUGGAAAGAGCUCAGAAAACCCCCAAAUGGAGCUGAAGCAGCCUUCAGUUUCCAAGGGCAAAUGGCAAGGCAAGUGCCCAGGAGAGAGUUUGCAAACAGAAGUCAUGCCACAGCUAACCAGGACGCCAGGGUGUGGAGCCCUUGCCAGCUCCUCUGACAUACAGAGAGGGGGUCACGGCCAAAUGACCAGCAACCAAAAGGGGUCCAUACCCUACUGGGGGCGGGGGUGGAUACAUCUCCUAGUAACUUUCUUAAAAAAAAAAAAAGCAAAAU